UCUUUUUGGCAUUAGAAAUAUGGGAUGCCCCAUAUUUUAUGGCAUGAAAAAAAUAUAUGAUGCCUCCUCCUAACCCUAGUCUCCAUGCCUCCCUAUAAAAGGGCUCCAAUAGUUGGAUGCCCAAGAAUUAAAAGAUCAAUUCUUCUCUAAGCCGAGCCUCUUCUCUCAUCCUCUUCCCUCUUCCUCCAGUUCUUCUUGAUCCCAUAGAGUGUCUGUGAGAUUUGAAGAAGAAGCCAGAUCAACCAUCAAAGAAGAAUCUCUGCAAAGGAGCUAGCAUCCUGGGGAGGUCAUCUCAUCUUUGAUCGAAAUAAGUCUUCAUGUGGAUAUCUA
rnacentral:lncRNA from 1 species